rnacentral:rRNA from 1 species
UAAACAUGCAAGUCAAGCGGAGUAGCAAUACUCAGCGGCGAACGGGUGAGUAACACGUGGGUAAUCUUCCUUCGAGUCUGGGAUAACUUUCCGAAAGGGAAGCUAAUACUGGAUAGUCCCGAGAGAUCAUAAGAUUUUUCGGGUAAAGAUUCAUUGCUCGGAGAUGAGCCCGCGUCCGAUUAGCUAGUUGGUAAGGUAAAGGCUUACCAAGGCGACGAUCGGUA